ensembl:lncRNA
CGGAUCCGGGGUGCCUGGGGUCUGGUGGGGCUGGGGCGCAGACGCCCAAAAUGCUUGGUCCUCCUGGCCUCCCUGCCUGCGCCUUGGACCGCGCUGGGGCAGGCCGCUCCGGCCCUGGAGGCUGUGUGGGCAGCGCGCCCCCGGGUAUUCGCCUGGGCUCCCUCUCCGAAGCUGCGGCCAGAGCUCGGCGAGUACUCCCUGCAGCUGCAUUCCGGCGCGCGGAGCCAUGCAGGGGUGGCGUCCGUGGGCCUGGUGUCCAGCUCGCUUUGGGCCGGUUGGAGACCACAGAACUGAGGUCAGGUCCUGAGCGCGCUCUAUGUCUGUACCUUGGACACCCAGGCAUCCAUCUCCAGCCUCUAACUCCCUCUUCCAGUUACUAGGGACCUUCCAGGCCCAGGGACUUUGGAAGCAUCCGGAGAGAUUCGGGUUCCCCAGCUGGAGACCUGAGGACAGAGCCAGCGCCUAUAAUUAGCCACAAUAACGCCCAUAAUAGUAAUUACUAAUUACCAGCUGUGUAACCAGGCUUUAUUUUCUGUGUUCAGAGUCAGAUUUUCUUCCUGGUCAUGCUCCCCCCGCCCCCCCCCCCUUAUCUCCACCCCCGACCUCACCCCACCAGUCCCUCUUACCCACAGCAACUGCUAGGACUCCUUUCCUGCGGUUCCAGCUUCUGGGGGUGGGAGGGCAGCGGGCAGAUGGGCGCUCCUGCUCUGGGAAGCCCCUGACCACAGCUUCCUCCUGCCCCCCAGCCCCCCAGCCCACACUCCCCAACCCCCUCUCUCGCCAACACCCAAAACAAACCAAUGCGCCCUGGCCACUGUCCUGUUUAGCAAGCUCCAGUGUCACGUUUCAGGAUGACAGGUAAACACAGGUAAGAUAAGGCCUCUUGUGAGACCUGAAGAGCCAGAUGGAAUGUAUGCCCAGAGAAAUUCCCGGUGUCAAGAUUGAGCCACAGGAUGAAUCACCUUCUUCCCAGCCCUACCUGCAGCUGUGUGAGCCCCUCACACCAUAGCCAUCCCAGCCUGGGGAAGAUGGAGGAAGACAGGACAGCCUUGUCCUGACCCCCAAGGGGCCCAGCAAUGCCGCCCUCCACGCUCUGGCUGUAUCUGCAUCACCUCCUUUCUGGUCCUGGAGUGAUUCAGGUUCCUGAACGCACCCGAGAGGGACCCGAGGCGAUUGGCCUCCAUCACGCCGCAGAGCUCCCUUUGGCUGGAAAGCCCGGACUCUUGGCGCCCCUCCCGGCUAGGACAUGAGCCUCGGGAGGCACCCACGCGUGUGCAGGGCCCGCGUGUGCAGACGCGGCUCCGGAGAUAUCGGGGCUGCCUCUCCGGGCCGCAGCUCGGAUCAGAGGCCGGCUGGGUGGCCUGACCCUGGCGGCACCCUGCCCCUGCGGCCAGUCCCCCGCCCCAAACCUUGCACCCCGAUGGAUGAAACCCAGGUCAACACUUUGGACCUUUCUCCAGCAGGAUCCAGCCGGAAAGCCACCCCCGCUUAGCGACAGCGAGGCGAGUGUCAAACAGUCCCCGGGCAGCCGAGACUCUCUCAGGAGCGUCCAGCUCUCACCGUGGAGCCCAAGGGCUCCAGCCCGGAGCCAGCCGGGUUGGCCGGGCCACGGUGAUUCCGCAGUUCCCUCGGUCUGGACCCCUCCGGGCCGGGCCUGCGCGCUCCGGCGACUCCAGGCCCAGACCCACGCGGAGCCCGACCGAAGGUUAGCCCUGGUGCCUCCCGGCCUAGAGUAGCACCCAGCAAACGUCCAGAGCGAGCGGGACUGCCGAGACCCCGCGGCGAGACUUGCUCGCCUGCCUUGGCAGGACAAGCCCAGUGGGGCCGGCGGAGGAGAUUCCAGAAAAACCCGGGGAGAAAAAUCGCCGUGCAGCAAGGGCGGUGGGCGGCCAGAUGCUCCGGGCCAAGCCCCGCACGAACGUAGAGCGCGUGUCUGGACGGAGGGGGCCGUGAGCCCCGGGCGCCGCGAGCCUCCUGAGCCGGCCUCCGUUUCCCCCGGUGGAGACACGGACCACAGGGCCCCGGCCUGGAGUGUCGGAGGAAGCGAAUUACAUGCGUGUGCGCACAUGUCAAUAUUUUAUAAACCUCCCCUUAAUUAACCAGAUCAUUUCCAUUAUGCCUCCAACCCCAUCCACCGCAACGGUGUGAGGGUUUGCAGGCUUUAUAAUUCGAUGCCACCAGACGGUUGCUCGGGGGCAGAGGUGUGAUCGCCCGCGCCAGCUGCGCUUGUAUUUAUUUGUUUUUCUCCCGUGUUCCUGUAGGGCGCCAUUAUGCAGUUUUUAAUUAGUUUGUGUUUGUAGUUCACCCGUCCCAAAUCAAUGCCAUCCCGGAGCACGGCGAUGUAAAUUCUCGAAGUACAGGUGUAGCUGCCUGCUCGGGAACACGGGGAAGCGCGUGUCUGACAAAUGAAAGCCGGGCGGACUGUCAGCUCUCGGCAGCCAAGAGGCGCAGAUCAAAGCCAUCGGGGACUCCUGCGCCCUCGGAGCGCCUCAGUGGCGGCGGCUCCUAAUGCUAUUAGAGGGAGAGUCGGGUGCAGCUCGGCGUGGGGGACAAAGUGACUUUUCAUUUUGCUGGAAUCCUGGGUUCCCUGGGCCAGCGCUGGCCUCCCGCGCGCUCUGGCCUUGGGGCCUGGUGGGCGCUGGGCACCCUGCAUCAGGCUCCCGCCCCGGAUGCCCGGCUGGCUGUGGGCGCGCGUGCACGGACCCAGUGCUGGAGAAAGGUCAUUGCCACUUCCAGCGGGGUUCCGCAGCCCUUUCAUAGAACCCACGGCCAACAGCCGGGACUUUGGGAAUCUCCAGACUGGAGAACCCCCCUCACCCCCACUCCCAGGUCCCGCUCAUUUCUCUUCUUGAAAUGACCUCUGUGCAAUGAGUGUAAAUUAUUCUUCCCAGCCACCAGGGAAUUCUUUUAAAGAUUUUUUUUUUUUUUUUUUUGGAUCGGGAAUAAGAGAUUGUUCAUCUUUAACUAGACCACAUAGAAAUUAUGAUUCAACAGCAGUGUGUAUUUAAUUAGAGUAAUCUCACUUGAAUUUAAUUACCUAAUGAAUUAUUUGUUUAAAAGGUAGAACGUCUUGUUUGCCAAGUGUGGUGCAGACCUCUGAUAAGAACUUGUGUUAUAAGGACAUUACAGUAUAAAGCAGCCAUGUAGUAAGGUUUGGUUUUAACUCUUUGCGUGUGUAAUGGUUACUGUAGCACUCAACACACACACUAAGAUCAUGUCCGGAAGGCUGAGGGGAGGGCAGAAGCUCCCAUUAGCCAAACAGAGGCUUAGUUCUGUUGUGCAGGCAGGGCCCCUUCGAAAUUAAUAUCUUCCAACCCCUUUCCUCAUACACAUCUAUUUUUAAAUGUAUUUUUCAAUAGUUUUGUGUGUGUGUGCCAGAUGACAGCUGCCUAUUAUGACUCAUUUUAUGAUUCAUAUUUGCAAUGAAGUGGUACAUCUCCUUCAGGAAAACUCCAGCCUAGCUUCUCUGGGUGCCUGAACCUCCAUACUAGUGACAGAAAGGCUUUCUGAGGUCAUUGAACAUUAGAGGAAGGGAAGCUACAAUGCCCCAGACUGUGAUCUUAACCCCUAGUGCCUAAAUAAUGGAAGGAUUUCAUCCCCUCUCAUUUUGUAAGAGCAAAUGACUCCAAACCGUGCCACCCUUUCCAGUGGGCUCUGAAGGGGAUGUGUCUCCAGCUAAACAUACAUGAAAUCCACCUGGUUGAAUUCCACUGUUAUUUUCAUUCAUAGGUCAUUAACCAGAUAUUUAAUUGUAGAUUUGGGCACUAUUAUCACAUAAAUAUUAAGUAUUAAUAAUAUAGUGUUCAACUAAGUAGGAAUAGGCUUAUGAGAAAAAAUAAAAAACUUUGAUAAGAAUUAUUAACUUUUUUAGAGUCUCUUAUUUUUAUCACAGCUGUGCAUUUUAAAACCGAUGCUUUAGCAACUGAUAGUGGUUAUUAAUAAAUUAUAAACUUAAUCAUGUUAAGUUAUGGUUAUAGUCGCAUCUUUCUUCCUAAGAAAUAGAUCUACAU